GUUGGCUUGCCGCCGGGUAAGCAUAGAAAACGCUGGAUUUCGUAUCGUUAGGCCAUUGAAGAUACGAAAUGCCAGCGUUUUUCUUUU
rnacentral:ncRNA from 1 species